GGUCAUGAGCUCAGUUGGUUAGAGCGCCCGGCUCAUAACCGGUACGUCUGGGGUACGUGUGCCUAAUAGACCACCA
rnacentral:tRNA from 1 species